AAGGGAGACCUAAUUCAGGUAGGAGACGAAAAAAAAGUAGUCCCAACCAAGAAUCAAUCCCAAAAGGUCGGAGCGAGGCGAAAUUGGCUUUCAAACUAGGUUCUGGGUUCACACAAGACCUGGAUCAGGAACAAGGGCUAUUAGCUCAGGUGGUUAGGGCGCACCCCCGAUAAGGGUGAGGUCCCUGGUUCGAGUCCAGGAUGGCCCACCUGCACAGGUGGCAAAAACAAGAGAAGCGAGGAAUCAGCACCUUAUCUUAUCUAUAUAUAUAUAGGAGAGAAUGCUGGCUCUGAGUAAAGAGUCCAGAGGAACCUUGAAAACUGCAUAGAGCUAGGUGAAAAAGCCAAAAAAGAAGACCGCAA
rnacentral:tRNA from 1 species